rnacentral:rRNA from 1 species
GACGAACGCUGGCGGCGUGCUUAACACAUGCAAGUCGAACGGAAAGGCCCUGCUUUUGUGGGGUGCUCGAGUGGCGAACGGGUGAGUAACACGUGAGUAACCUGCCCUUGACUUUGGGAUAACUUCAGGAAACUGGGGUUAAUAUCGGACAGGAGCUCCCGUUGCAUGGUGGGGGUUGGAAAGUUUCGGCGGUAGGGGAUGGAUUCGCGGCUUAUCAGCUUGUUGGUGGGGUAGUGGCUUACCAAGGCUUUGACGGGUAGCCGGCAUGGGAGGGUGGCCGGCCACAAGGGGACUGAGGUACGGCCCAGACUCCUACGGGAGGCAGCAGUGGGGAGUAUUGCACAAUGGGCGGGAGCCUGAUACAGCGGCGCCGCGUGCGGGAUGACGGCCUUCGGGUUGUGAACCGCUUUCGCCUGUGACGAAGCGUGAGUGACGGUAAUGAGUAAAGAAGCACCGGCUAACUACGUG